rnacentral:rRNA from 1 species
GAUGAACGCUAGCUACAGGCUUAACACAUGCAAGUCGAGGGGCAGCAUGGUCUUAGCUUGCUAAGGCCGAUGGCGACCGGCGCACGGGUGAGUAACACGUAUCCAACCUGCCGUCUACUCUUGGACAGCCUUCUGAAAGGAAGAUUAAUACAAGAUGGCAUCAUGGGUCCGCAUGUUCACAUUAUUAAAGGUAUUCCGGUAGACGAUGGGGAUGCGUUCCAUUAGAUAGUAGGCGGGGUAACGGCCCACCUAGUCUUCGAUGGAUAGGGGUUCUGAGAGGAAGGUCCCCCACAUUGGAACUGAGACACGGUCCAAACUCCUACGGGAGGCAGCAGUGAGGAAUAUUGGUCAAUGGGCGAGAGCCUGAACCAGCCAAGUAGCGUGAAGGAGGACUGCCCUAUGGGUUGUAAACUUCUUUUAUAAAGGAAUAAAGUCGGGUAUGGAUACCCGUUUGCAUGUACUUUAUGAAUAAGGAUCGGCUAACUCCGUG